rnacentral:misc_RNA from 1 species
GUGAAGAACGCAGCGAAAUGCGAUACUUGGUGUGAAUUGCAGAAUCCCGUGAACCAUCGAGUCUUUGAACGCAAGUUGCGCCCGAAGCCAUUAGGCCGAGGGCACGCCUGCCUGGGCGUCACACGUCGUUGCCCCCCCAUCUACUCCUUCGGGAUUGCGAGGGGCGGAUGAUGGCCUCCCGUGCGCCUCGUCGCGCGGUUGGCAUAAAUACCAAGUCCUCGGCGACGCACGCCACGACAAUCGGUGGUUGCGAAACCUCGGUUGCCCGUCGUGUGCGGUCGUCGCGCAUCGAGGGCUCGAAAAAAUUGCCGGGCUCCGGCUCGGCUUUCAACGCGACCCCAGGUCAGGCGGGGUUACCCGCUGAAUUUAAGCAUAUCAAUAAGCGGAGGA